UACGAAGGGGCUAGCGUUGCUCGGAAUUACUGGGCGUAAAGCGCACGUAGGCGGUCUUUUAAGUCGGGGUGAAAUCCUGGAGCUCAACUCCAGAACUGCCUUCGAUACUGGAAGACUUGAGUCCGGGAGAGGUGAGUGGAACUGCGAGUGUAGAGGUGAAAUUCGUAGAUAUUCGCAAGAACACCAGUGGCGAAGGCGGCUCACUGGCCCGGUACUGACGCUGAGGUGCGAAAGCGUGGGGAGCAAACAGG
rnacentral:rRNA from 1 species